GCUGUGGCUGAGCUAACGAUGGCGGCCGUCCGCCAUUAUCAAGUUGAAUGAAGAAACACGAGCCGCUACACUCUGAAGCAGCUUUGCAACAAAGACUGGAGCAGGACUUUUCACAGUGCCCUUCCUUCUCCCUUAUGUGUGUGUGUGUUGUCAUUCCCAGUCUGUAUUAUUCCUCCUGUGUCUCUCCCCCUGUCUGUUCUGUGUGUGUGCAUGUGGGCGUGGUCUCCUUCCACAGGCAGCGCCAGGUGAAUCAACUCCAGUAAUCAACCUCUCCAUAAAGCCUCUGGACUCCCUCCUACUCGUCGCCAGAUCGUUUCAUCAGUCUACGUGAUUGCUGUGCUUGCCUCGUGAUCUCGUGUGUGCUUCUUCCCUGCCUGCCUGUGGACCUGCCUGCCCGUCGUCUGCUCUCCUGUGUUUCCCCUCUGAGUGAGUACGCUCGAGAUGACGUUCCCCACUGCGCCGUGCCACAGCACCGCCAUUACCACGUGGCAGACGCCACAUCAAAGACACUCUCACUCUCUUCCUCACUGGUGACUUCACAAGACACGUCUGGAUCCUGGGACUACGCACAUCCCCUCCCCCUUGCACUUGCCUGCACAUUUGAACAUUAAAGACUUGUU